CCUACGGGCGGCUGCAGUGGGGAAUAUUGCACAAUGGGCGCAAGCCUGAUGCAGCCAUGCCGCGUGUGUGAAGAAGGCCUUCGGGUUGUAAAGCACUUUCAGCGGGGAGGAAGGCGUUAAGGUUAAUAACCUUGGCGAUUGACGUUACCCGCAGAAGAAGCACCGGCUAACUCCGUGCCAGCAGCCGCGGUAAUACGGAGGGUGCAAGCGUUAAUCGGAAUUACUGGGCGUAAAGCGCACGCAGGCGGUCUGUCAAGUCGGAUGUGAAAUCCCCGGGCUCAACCUGGGAACUGCAUUCGAAACUGGCAGGCUAGAGUCUUGUAGAGGGGGGUAGAAUUCCAGGUGUAGCGGUGAAAUGCGUAGAGAUCUGGAGGAAUACCGGUGGCGGAGGCGGCCCCCUGGACAAAGACUGACGCUCAGGUGCGAAAGCGUGGGGAGCAAACAGGAUUAGAUACCCGAGUAGUC
rnacentral:rRNA from 1 species